CGUUAGGGAUAACAGUGGAAAUCCUUUUUUGCCCCUCUUUUUGGGGCAAAAAAGAUUAUUUCACAAUAUUAUAUUUC
rnacentral:sRNA from 1 species